rnacentral:rRNA from 1 species
AACGAACGCUGGCGGCAGGCCUAACACAUGCAAGUCGAGCGAGGACUUCGGUCCUAGCGGCGGACGGGUGAGUAACGCGUGGGAACGUGCCCUUUGCUACGGAAUAGCCCCGGGAAACUGGGAGUAAUACCGUAUGUGCCCUUCGGGGGAAAGAUUUAUCGGCAAAGGAUCGGCCCGCGUUGGAUUAGGUAGUUGGUGGGGUAAUGGCCUACCAAGCCGACGAUCCAUAGCUGGUUUGAGAGGAUGAUCAGCCACACUGGGACUGAGACACGGCCCAGACUCCUACGGGAGGCGGCAGUGGGGAAUCUUAGACAAUGGGGGGAAAGCCUGAUCUGGCCAUGCCGCGUGAGCGAUGAAGGCCUUAGGGUUGUAAAGCUCUUUCAGUGGGGAAGAUAAUGACGGUACCCACAGAAGAAGCCCCGGCUAACUCCGUGCCAGCCGCCGCCGUAACAC